rnacentral:tRNA from 1 species
GUAAUCGUGGCCGAGUGGUUAAGGCGAUAGACUAGAAAUCCAUUGGGGUCUCCCGAUUCAAAUCCUGUCGAUUACG